AUCCAUCUGACGAGUCCCCAAUAAAAUGAAACGCUCGUCCUGGAU
rfam:Schistosoma haematobium scaffold330_40, whole genome shotgun sequence.